rnacentral:rRNA from 1 species
UAGGUGAACCUGCGGAAGGAUCAUUAAAGAAYGCCCCGUUUUUUGAAAUGGGUUCUAUUCCCAAACCGUGUAUACAUACCUUUGUUGCUUUGGCAGGCCGCCUUCGGGCGUCGGCUCACGCUGACCGCGCCUGCCAGAGGACCCAAACUCGWUUGUUUAGUGAUGUCUGAGUACUAUAUAAUAGUUAAAACUUUCAACAACGGAUCUCUUGGUUCUGGCAUCGAUGAAGAACGCAGCGAAAUGCGAUAAGUAAUGUGAAUUGCAGAAUUCAGUGAAUCAUCGAAUCUUUGAACGCACAUUGCGCCCCUUGGUAUUCCGAGGGGCAUGCCUGUUCGAGCGUCAUUAUGACCACUCAAGCCUAGCUUGGUAUUGGGGUUCGCGGUCUCGCGGCCCUUAAAAUCAGUGGCGGUGCCAUCUGGCUCUAAGCGUAGUAAUUYAUCUCGCUAUUGGGUCCGGUGGYUGCUUGCCAACAACCCCCAACUUCUAAGGUUGACCUCGGAUCAGGUA